CAGGGUCCCCGCCGCCCCUCAGCCCGGCAAGGGGCUGGCGGCGAGCGGAGGAACCUGGGCAAGGAGCCGAGCCCCGCUGCCCCCAGCCCCUGCAGAGGGCGAGGAAAGACCCCACUUACGGUGCCGAGCCCCCCCGCGCGUGGAAAUCGCCUCAAAGCGGGUCUAGGGAGCUUGUCCCAGCCUGAUCCCGAGCGCCUGUUCCCCUGGCGAGAGUCACGUCGGAGCGCGGCGAAGUGCAGCCGGGCGCAGAACCUGCCAGGACUGUCAACUUUCAGAUCCUAUUUCAGUUGCAUUGAGAGAAACUGUUACCUUUUCACCUUUAAAAAGAUGUGUUGCACACAAGAACAUAACUAUUCUGAACUUGAAAGGCCACCUCUUGCCUCAGGAACAUAAUGAAGUAUAAUGAUGACCAGCUGCACCAUCAGUUAUUAUUUAUCACAAGAUACCACCAGCUGCCACUACUAAGGCGGUCACAAUGCCUACAAGAGAUCAGCUCCUAGAAGAACAGCAGCUGGCUCAAACUUACCCUGCCAAUCUUAAUCCAAACUCAGUCUUAAGCUUGUAAUACUUGUCAGAAAGUAACUAUUUUUCAUGCAUGGUGAUGUGAUUGACGCACUGACUGCUGCUCUGAUGACACCUUCCUCAUGCACUGUGUUCACCCAAGAGAGCAGCCUUGUUGCUUCUAGAAGGGACAACCCAUGCACCUGCACCCGCUCUCUACCACCUCGUCCUCUUUAUCCUCCAGAAAAAUCUAGGCAUAGGCAGGAGUCCAAACAAGCUCAAUGAGGUUGACAAUAGGAAUUCCCUAUGGGUUUGAUUCUUACUUGGGUCAACUCUCCUCCCCGCACGUUGGGCCAACGUAUGAAGGAAUUCUCGCCAUGGCACCAAUGUGGGGGGAGGAGUGAUGAGCACACUCACAAUUGAUGCAGUCACAUUCAUGGGCUAGGAUGGGGAUGAGGGAGUAGAGAGGUCUUAUAUGCCUAUUGCCUAUCUAUGGACUACAGUAAUAGCAGAAAGAAAUGUUGGCGUCACAGCAUACCAACACAGAAUGUUGGUAUUAUCCGUGAAAGUAGACAUGGGCUAAUUAUUAAUCCAAUAUUGGCCCCUAAAUGCAAAUUUAUGUUAAAGUAUAAAACUGAUUUUGUUAUUAAAGUAAUGGCCCUCCAUGUUUUGUUGUUGUCCCCUUGAUCCCUCUUCUGUUCUGGGCUGCUACUACCAGAAGGUAUGCAUCAACAUGUCUUAACGUGGACAUCUUAGACAAAAGAUUUCACACACGCUGCUAAGCAUAUUGGAUAGUUUGCAAGAGACCUAGUUAUGUGGUGAGAGGAUGGGUAGUGAAAGAGCAAAGUUGCCUUCUUUGUCAUUGGUGAUAGGAACAACAUAGUCAAAACAAUUAAUGAAGGGAAGUAGCAUGUGACAGUGUUGGUUAUUUUGUUUGACCGUUCAAAGUCCUGGGUAUUGACCUGUAAUAUUUAGCCAGACCCUGAAACUGCAGAAAUUAUUGCAACCAUACA